CUUCAAGGUAAAUCAGAUGUGUAUUAACGUGAAUUAGUUAAAUAAUUUUCUUUUACCAAUCAAACAUAUAUACAGUUAUAUGAAUUUCUUUUUUUUUUUGAACAACAUAAGACUUUCAUUUAGAUAAAGGGUUUAGGUGGAGUGCAGGCCCAUAGCAAGAUGGGUUGAAAGACAUGCCUUAGCAAGCACAUCCGCUGGCCCAUUUGUGAUUCUAGGAAUGUAAACAAAACGACAACAAGAAAAGGGAGAAAGAGACGAGAAGGAUAGGUCGUCGAUGUCGGCGAGAACUCCGUAAAGCUCCGUCGUCUUCCGGCGAGAGUUGAUCGCUGUUGCGAGCACUUGAGAGUCUGUACGGAUACAGAUAUGAGUGAUGUUGUGAGACGCUGCUUGAAGCAAACCUUCUCUGAUUGCGAGAGCCUCCCCCAUGCAUGGUGAGGAGACGUGUGUCUGAGCUUUUGAUCCUCGAUCCUCGAUUUAGUUCCUGCACUGAUUGAUCCGUGAAAAUCCAGGCAAGGCCAGCUGAUCUUGUGCGAUGAUCCCACGACGCAUCGGUGAAUCAAAAGGAUUCCCCAGGAUUGGUGAUCUCGAUCUGACGAUUUAGCGGUCCUUGAGAUGGCGCUGCUAUUUUGCGGGGUUGGGCUGAUUCCCAUUCUUUCACUCCCACUAGCGCAAGACGAGCUGUCUCUUCUGGUGAUUGUGUUCUAUUCUCGAAGAGGAGCUUAUUUCUUGCUACCCAGAUUGACCAACAGAACCAUGGAAAAGCGUUUCCAGUGAAGCCAUACGGUGGGAGAGGGUUCCAUUUCCACGAGUCUCUGAGAUUGGCAAUAAAACUGGAGUUUUGGGUGGUGUCCAGACGGUGGCUCCAGGGGCUAAAAGCCCAGACCUCUGUUGCAAAUUGGCAGUGAAACAGGAUGUGGUCAACACUCUCCGGCGCUCCACAUCUAGAGCAGGUCGUAUUUACCAGAAGGCCUCUUUUUUGGAGAUUCUCUCCUGAUGGAAGUGCAUCUGAGGCGAUUUUCUAGAGGAAGAAUUUAAGUUUGGGGGAGAGCUGGUUCGACCAGAUGAGCUUUUUCCAAUCCCGGGAGUCCUCAGAGUUCCCAUUUGCGCAGGUUGGUAGUAAGGCUUCAUGUUUUGUUAACACUGUUGAGUAGUAUCCUGACUUGACAGUGUAGCUUCCCGAUUUAUGCAGGGGCCAGAUGUAGGAAUCGUUGGCUCCCAGGAUACUUGGACGUAAUGCCAGUAUGUGGGAGGCUAGUUCCGGGAGCAGAUUAUUGAUGCGUGCCACAUUCCACUCUUUCGAUUCUCUGGAGUCAUUCCACAGGGAUGUUGCUUCCCCAUUCCCCACUGCUUUCCCCAGGUGCUUUAUCAGGAGGUCGCGGUCCAAAAGGACCCCUCUCCAGCCAUGAGAGAUUGCUGAUGUUGCCUUUGUCUUCAGAAAGGAGGACUUGUGGCAGUACUUCCCCAAGAGUACCUUAGCGAGGAGGCUAUCUGGGGUCAUCUUGUCCCAAGAGACCCAACAGAUUUUGCGUGCACCGUUCGAAGAGUCCCACCAGAAGCGCGUUAAUACAGAUUGUAUCUUCUUGCAAAGGCUAGCCGGUAGCUCAAAGCAGGUCAUCGCGAAGGAUGGGAUCGGUGAGAGGACCGACAUGAUCAUGGUGGCUUUCCCUGCCGUGGAGAGAAAUUUGGUGGACCAGUUGAGAGACUUCUGUUUCAUUCUAUCUAUUAUGGAGUCAAAAAGGUCUUUCUUCCUCCGUCCAAAGUGCUCUGGUAAGCCCAAGUACUUCCCUACUCCCCCCUCCCUCUCUAUACCUAAUUGUGCCUUAACUCUGGAACGGAUGUCUGUAGGAGUUUUGCUAGAGAAAGAGAUAGAGGACUUGAGAGUAUUUAUCUUCUGUCCCGAUGCUGCUUCAUACUUCCUGAGAAUGUCUACAAGAGUAGUGCAGGCGUGAGUGUCUGUCUUAGUGAAGAACAUGGUGUCAUCAGCAAAUAAGAGGUGAUUGAGUUUUGGACUGUUUCUUGCAACUCUCACGCCUGGUAGUGACCCCAUAUCUUGUGCUUUUUUGCAGAGUCCCGACAAGACUUCCCCACAGAUGAUGAAGAUGUAGGGAGACAACGGAUCUCCUUGACGGAUUCCACGCUGAGGAUUUACACUUCCUUUCGCCUCAUUGCCAAUGAGGAAGGAGUAAGACACUGUCGUCACACACUCCAUCACCCAGUGUACCCAGCCAUGGAGCAGUGUUUGACAGCCCCUGACGUCUUAAGGAAGUGAAGCACUUCAUGCGUGAUGAGGACGUUGUCAGAGAUUGCUCUACCAGGUAUGAAAGCUGACUGGUUUUCCGAAAUCACCUCUUGAAGAACAGGUUUUAGACGUAUAGAGAGCAGUUUGGAAAUGAUUUUGUAGUAUACAUUGCACAGGGCAAUAGGCCUAUAGUCAGAGACUGCCUUGGGGCUCUGGAUUUUUGGGAUUAGUCUGAUGUGAGUAGAGUUGAUGGAAUUAGGUAGAACUCCUUCUCUGAAGAAAUACUGAAUCUCUUUUAUGA